GUCAACUCUUUAAAGAAGAAUUUUUCCUGGCACUAAAUUCAAACCAAGAGUUUAUAGGUUAAGGAAAGAGAAUUGGUGAAUUUAAAAAAAAAGAAAAAAAGGCACAGAUACUCAUAGAGACCCUCUGAAUAAUCUUCAAAACAUAAACCAGAAUGUCUCUAGGGAGAUGGACUAUUAUGACAACUUAAACAUUCCAGAAGCUCCAAGAUGACAGGAUCACCUGCACAAAGAUGCUAAAACAAAGACAGAAUGGAUAUUAUUUUCUUGGACCAGAGCAGUUUCAGACUCCUUCCUCUGUCCCAACACUACAGUGAUCAAAUCAUGACCAUAGAGACCGAGAAAAAUAUUCAAGAUAUUGGAGACUCCGUGGAAACUUUUUUCUCUUGUGCAGAUUGCUAAUUCUCCAUGGAAACAGUUUAAUUUUUUUCAACAAACAUUCACUGGCCUAUGAUAAGGUAACCAUACUUUGCCGUGAAGAGAAUUUUGCCUAAAAUUUAUUGUAUACAUUCAAAGUUUAUCAUAUGACGACAUCAAUAAAGUGCCCCAGAGUUGAGAAUA